rnacentral:rRNA from 1 species
UACGUAGGGUGCGAGCGUUAAUCGGAAUUACUGGGCGUAAAGCGAGCGCAGACGGUUACUUAAGCAGGAUGUGAAAUCCCCGGGCUUAACCUGGGAACGGCGUUCUGAACUGGGUAACUAGAGUAUGUCAGAGGGGGGUAGAAUUCCACGUGUAGCAGUGAAAUGCGUAGAGAUGUGGAGGAAUACCGAUGGCGAAGGCAGCCCCCUGGGAUAAUACUGACGUUCAUGCUCGAAAGCGUGGGUAGCAAACAGGAUUAGAUACCCUGGUAGUCCACGCCCUAAACGAUGUCAAUUAGCUGUUGGGGUACUUGAUGCCUUAGUAGCGUAGCUAACGCGUGAAAUUGACCGCCUGGGGAGUACGGUCGCAAGAUUAAA